rnacentral:rRNA from 1 species
ACGAACGCUGGCGGCUUGCUUCACACAUGCAAGUCGAACGGAAAGGCCCUGCUUUUGUGGGGUGCUCGAGUGGCGAACGGGUGAGUAACACGUGAGUAACCUGCCCUUGACUUUGGGAUAACUUCAGGAAACUGGGGCUAAUACCGGAUAGGAGCUCCUGCUGCAUGGUGGGGGUUGGAAAGUUUCGGCGGUUGGAGAUGGACUCGCGGCUUAUCAGCUUGUUGGUGGGGUAGUGGCUUACCAAGGCUUUGACGGGUAGCCGGCCUGAGAGGGUGACCGGCCACAUUGGGACUGAGAUACGGCCCAGACUCCUACGGGAGGCAGCAGUGGGGAAUAUUGCACAAUGGGCGGAAGCCUGAUGCAGCAACGCCGCGUGCGGGAUGACGGCCUUCGGGUUGUAAACCGCUUUCGCCUGUGACGAAGCGUGAGUGACGGUAAUGGGUAAAGAAGCACCGGCUAACUACGUG